AAUGGGUCAGCGACUUAUAUUCUGUAGCAAGGUUAACCGUAUAGGGGAGCCGCAGGGAAACCGAGUCUUAAUUGGGCGUUAAGUUGCAGGGUAUAGACCCGAAACCCGGUGAUCUAGCCAUGGGCAGGUUGAAGGUUGGGUAACACUAACUGGAGGACCGAACCGACUAAUGUUGAAAAAUUAGCGGAUGACCUGUGGCUGGGGGUGAAAGGCCAAUCAAACCGGGAGAUAGCUGGUUCUCCCCGAAAGCUAUUUAGGUAGCGCCUCGUGAAUUCAUCUCCGGGGGUAGAGCACUGUUUCGGCUAGGGGGCCAUCCCGGCUUACCAACCCGAUGCAAACUGCGAAUACCGGAGAAUGUUAUCACGGGAGACACACGGCGGGUGCUAACGUCCGUCGUGAAGAGGGAAACAACCCAGACCGCCAGCUAAGGUCCCAAAGUCAUGGUUAAGUGGGAAACGAUGUGGGAAGGCCCAGACAGCCAGGAUGUUGGCUUAGAAGCAGCCAUCAUUUAAAGAAAGCGUAAUAGCUCACUGGUCGAGUCGGCCUGCGCGGAAGAUGUAACGGGGCUAAACCAU
rnacentral:rRNA from 2 species